AUCGAAGUAACUUUUGAUAAUAAUACGAAGGAAUCAACAUUUCCUUAUUCCAUCUCAUGUACCAAUUGAACAUUUCCUUAUUCCAUCUCAUGCUUAACAAUAAUUGAUCCUAAUAGAUUAGUGCAUUAUCGUACCCCUUUUCUUCUGUGAGUGGUGGUGACAAUUAAAGAUGAUCUCCACAUUUCUCUCCCAUUCAAGGUAUGCCUUUGGAUAAUUAAUUCUAUCCGUAGAAGGAAGGGAUGUUCAUUUUUAUGAAGUUGAUGUUAUUGUACUUUUCUUGUUGUGAAGAACCAUCACUCUUUCAUUAAGGGUGGCCUGACUAGCCAUCUGCUUGGCGACCAUCUUUUCCAUUCCGUCUUCAAACUCCAUUGUUUGAUUUUCAAUCAGUUCAUUUUAUCGUCGCUUAUCUUUUCAAUUCGAGUCUCAAACUAUGUUUCUUUGACUUCCAAUCGACCAAUGCUUCAAGGGCUAACGAAUUGGUUUUCUAGCCAGAUGUAGUACUAUUCUUUGAGGACAUUUUUUAGUUUCUGCAAGGUCGAACAAGAAUAAAAUAAGAAAAAAUUUCUUCACUGUUAUUCACUCAUGUUUGCACUCAAUUGGCUUUUACCCUCCAUUAAACUCACCACGCUUAGUUAAAUAAAGAAAUAAAUCCAAAGAGGCUGAAGGUUGGUAAAGUAAAUCAAUUCCUUAUCCCAUGGCCGGCUAUGGCUAACAAAGAACCAUAGGAUAACUCAAAUUUUACCCUUUAAAUAUUUAACCGGCCUUCAUAAAAAGAAAAACUUUAAUUAUUACGAAGACUCUAUUUCCGGUUAAUUUCAUCUGAAUUUACAUUGAACGGAGCAGUUGGGAAUUUACAAAAUUGCAUUGUAGCUUCCUCAAUUAAUGUCGAAACUAUUUUUUUUUUAAAAACGGGAAUCGACUUUGUUUGAAAGCUAAGAUUAAAAUGGGAGUCGCCACCGAUCUUUAUUAGGUGUGAUCGGAUCACCCUUGUUUUAAUAAAAUAUUUUAAUUUACUAAAACGGUGUUUUUGGUCUACGAAACUCGAGAGAACGGGUUCGAGAGUCGGUUACGUGUGAGGUAGGAUUAGCACCCUCGACACGCCCAAAAUUGGUACCGAAUUGAUUAGUUAGUGUCUUAAUGUCGAAAGUUAAAAAUUGGGAAUAGAUUUAAAAUACGAUCCCUUUUUUAUUAACGUCGAUUUAAAAAAAAAACUUGAAUUAGAUCAAAACGAUUGCUAAAGAUUUCCUCGUCUCGAGAUAUCGGAGUAUCACAUCCCGUAAGUUAGGACACGAUACCAUGAACUCCCAAGCACAAGUUUGUCUUUAAUUUCAAUUGGAAUUCCGUUUAUUUUAAAACUCAAAAGGAUAUUUGGCUAUUUAGAAUCAACGAGAAAAUCGAAACCCCGUAAGUUAGGGCACAAUUUCUCGAUGUUCCAAAACGCAAAACAUUGCCUUAUUUAGAAAAUUUUCUUUUUGAAAUAUAGCGAGUAUAAUGUUUAAUAAAGUACGUUAUUCGUUUGGAUUAAAAAUAAAACAAUUUAUUGGAUGAAUGUAACGAGGCUUGAUUCAUGGGGCGAUGAUAUGAAAUAAAAGUAUAGCGCGACAUGAAACGAUGAUACAUGAAUAAAAAAUUACACAAGUGAAUGACAAUAAUAUGAAAAUACAAAUAAACGAAUCAUAGUACAUGCAAUGGCAAUAAUCUCACAACAUGCAUCAUUUAAAUACUAACAUUAAUAAUUAAAGACCAAUGAAUUAAAUAAUAUAUAUAACAAUUUAAAAAAAAUAUAAAGCAAAUUAAAAUAAAUAAAAUGUAAAACAAAUUUUAAAACGAUAAUAAAUAAAUUUAAAAUAAAUAAUGUGAAAAAGAAAUUUAAUAUCAACAAUGUACAAAACAAUUUAAAAAUAGAGUAUAUGUAAAAGAAAUUUUAAAAUAAGUAAUAUACAAGAUAUCAAAGAAAUAACUAGUAUAUAUAAAAAAUAGAUAUAACAAUUUGAAAUUGAUAAUAUAUAUAAAAUUUUAAAGUAAAUAAUAAAACAAUUUAAAAUGAAUAAUACAUAAAGCGAGUUUAAAAUAAAUAAUGUAAAAGAAUUUUAAAAUCUAUAUUACACAAAGCAAAUUAAAAAAGGAUUCAUAUGAGUAAUUUUAAGAUAGAUAAUAUAUAUACAUACACAAAAGUGUAUGUCGAAACCAUCUUUCAAAUUUAAGGAAAAACGGGGAAUCGACUUUUAAAACCAAAUAUGGAGUCACCACAAAUCUUUUUAGUUUUAGGUGUGAUCGGAUCACCUAAAAAUUUGGUUAUUUUAAUAAAAUAUUUCUUUUUACUUAAACAACGAUUUUGGUCUUACGAAAAUAUGAGAAAACGGGUUCGGGAAUCAGUUACGCAUGAGGAAGGAUUAGCACCCUCACUACACCCAAAAUUGGUACCAAAUCGAUUAGGUACUGCCCUUAUGUCUAAGAUUUGAAAAUGUUUCUUUGAAAUAUGGUUCCUUUUAUAAACAUUUGAAUAGCCCAAGUUGGUCGCCAAAAUUCUCUUGUUUCAAAGGAAUACAUUAUCACUCCAGCACGAUAGGACACGAUCCUUUAUACCCUCGAAAACACGAUAAAUUUCGACUUCCAAAAAUUUAUAUGUUGAAAACUGCAAAAGGAUGCCCAAUUAUUUAGUCCAACGAAAAAAUCAAUGUAGCACCCCAAACCCGGCCCAGAAGUUAUGGCCGGAUCUGGCAUGCCACAUCAAAAACGUAAAAAAAAUUUCUAUUCUAAGUCCAGAAAAUCGUACUUGAUGUUCAAAAGAUUAAUUCAUUAAGGGUUAAAGUGAAUGGAAGCUGUGCACCAGGUAGGAAACCGGAAAAGAGGUGGUGAGUCUAUCGGACUGCUUAAGUACCAAGCUCCCUUCGGAUCCAAUCCUAGACAUGCAUACCGCCAUUGCCACACCUUAACGUCAUGGAUAUUUCUAGGAAACCGAUUCGAUUAAGUCAUUUUUAGGAAAAGUGAUUAAUUUUGGAAAAUACUUUCAUUACGGAAGCUUUGCUUGUUGUUGUGUUAUUUUGAAAUCAACUGUUGUUUUUGAAAACGCGCCCUAAAGCUAUCCAAUUUCAACAGUUAAAAUAAGUAUUACCUAUCUUAGUAAUACAUAUUAAAAACCAUCAAAAAUAAAUAAGCGGCCUUAUUACAUUUAAAAGCCCAAAACCUCAAACGUAAUUAAAAGGAUGUCAAGUUCACCAGAAGAAAAUCAAACUUUCAGAACGGGUGGCCACUCCGAAUUCCCUCACAGCUCCAAGCCCACUAUGGUUGGGGAUUUCCUGCGUGGAUGAAAAUAAAAGGGGUGAGUUUGGGGAAACUCAGUGUGUAAAAUAACCCAACCAUAGCCUAUAUCAGCUCAAACCACAGAAAUAGAAUAAGUUGGCCUUAGCCCAGAACAGAAUUCAGAAUAAAGCCCAUAGGCCCAUAACAGAACAGAACAGAUAUUACAUGUUUAUGCAGAAACCCAACCAUAUCCAACCGUAUACACCCCCGUACCAACCUUACACCGUGUGGGGAGACAACUCGACCCACCCAACCGCUACACACCACAGAAUUUGCAGCAUGGCUGCCAGAACAGAUAAUGUGACAGAGUCACCAGAUACAGAUAAUCGUGGCAGAGCCACCAGAACAGAUAUAUGUGGCAGAGCCACCAUAUCAGAUAUUUGUGGCAGAGCCACCAGAUCAGAUAUUUGUGGCAUAGCCACCAGAACGCUUCCUCCAUAAUAUAACCCAUGUCCCCAUGCAGCAGAUAUAUAAUCAUGGCAUACAUCAUACAGAAUCAGAUCGUCAUGCUUUUCAGUCAAAAUUAACCCUAGGGGUAUAACGGUAAUUUUGCACCUAGGGGUAUAACAGUAAUUUUCCAUACAUAGGGGUAUUAUAGUAAUUUAGCUACUUUUAGAGUUUUCAUGCAUAUCCUAACUAUUUACGUACUAUCAGAACACUUACCGCGCAUACUUACCGAAUUGGGCCCGUUGACCCAUGAACCCGAUCUUUGGCCCAUUAAGCCCAAAUUAUCAAAAUGUACGAAAUCGCGCGUACUUCAGUUUAUUACUUUAGAUUACCAAAUAUACAAACCCAACUAUUUUACGAGCAUUCGCACACUCGCAAAUUCCCAAAAUACCGACUUUUCGGCAUUUCGGCUUUUCGGCUUUUGCCAAUCUAGUCUAUGAGAGGGUGUCAGUUACACACCUGUUUGCGACGAUAUGCUGACGAGAUCCACACACGAACUGCCUACAAUUGGAUUACUAACACAUUAAUCUAACUGUUCAAAUACGAACUACGUAUUAACCCCUUACAAUAUUCGGCCAACCACACCUACAGAUCAUAGUAAGCUUAUAAGAAAUCAAUAAGCAACUCAUUAACAAAUUUUUGUCAAUGUUUACCACAUAAUCAUAAUUUCACUGCAAGCUGUCUUCCUGAGCAACAGUCACUAAAUCAUUUAUAACUGGAGCUACGAAACUCCAAAUCAAGUUCCGUUAAUUUUCCUUGAAAAUAGACUCAUAUAUCUUCUAUCCAUAAAAUUUUCAGAAUUUUUGGUUUAGCCAAUCAAUACCAGAUUUUUCUCAAAGUUUCCCAUGUUUCACUGUUUGACUAAUCUGACCACCCUUCAUUACGAAUCAAAUUUCUCAUUGUACAGAAUUCAAAAUAUGUUCUUGUUUAUUUCAUUAGAAACUAGACUCAAUAAGCUUUAAUUACAUAAUUUAUUCAGCUUCUAAUUCUUCUCCCACAAUUUGUGGUGAUUUUCCAAAGUCACGUUACUACUGCUGUCCCAAGCAGAUUUAUUACCAAAUCACUCUUUCACACAUACCUUGCAUGCAUGUUAUUUAAACAUGUAUAUCACCAAUCAAUCAUCACAUAUCUAUGAUUUUACUUAAGUAUAAUCUCCAUUUCAUCAUUUUAAAAAACAACAUGUUAGCUGAUUUUUCCCUUUAACAUCUAAGGCACAUGCAUGCUCAUUUGUUUGGCUCAACUUCACCUAUCUUCCAUUUUUCAUCAAAAGAACAUGAAACAACAACCAUUUCCUUCAUUUUAAUUCAUGACUAAAUGCUCACAACACAACUAAAAAUCAAAAUAUACUUCAAGAGUUAAGGUAGAAUCAAGAACUCAUGAACCUCAAAAUAGAAGCAAGGUACCAAGAACUUACCUUCAAUUUUCCUCCUCCUAAUGACCAAAUACUCAAGAGCUUUCUCCUCUCCUUUCUCUUCUCUAACUUUCAUCUAUGAUGAACAAAGAUGGACAAAACUUUGUUCUUUUCACCCCUUUUUCUUUUAAUAAAACUUCAUAUUUCAUCCAUUUAAUUCUUUAAUACAAAAGACAUGAAAUUCUUAUCAUGAAACAUUUA
rnacentral:lncRNA from 1 species